GGCGGCGUGCCUAACACAUGCAAGUCAACUUGACUGAAGGAGCAAUCUGACAGUAGAGUGGCGCAAGGGUGCGUAACGCGUAAGUAACUUUGCCCCAAGGUAAGGAAUAACGUCGAGAAAUCGGCGCUAAUACCUCAUAAUGCAGCGGAUCCGCAUGGAUAUGUUGUUAAAGGUUUACCGCCUUGGGAUAGGCUUGCGUCUGAUUAGUUAGUUGGUGUGGUAACGGCACACCAAGGCUACGAUCAGUAACUGGUCUGAGAGGAUGAUCAGUCACACUGGAACUGAGACACGGUCCAGACUCCUACGGGAGGCAGCAGUGAGGAAUAUUGGGCAAUGCUCGAAAGAGUGACCCAGCAACGCCGCGUGGAGGAUGAAGGUAUUCUAUAUCGUAAACUCCUGUGAGAGCAGACGAAAGACAGAUUAUUAAUCUGGAUGACUGUAUGCUCAGAGGAAGCCCCGGCUAACUACGUG
rnacentral:rRNA from 1 species